CUCCUUCCCCUACAAGAAACUCUUGAAUGAGAUCCUAUGAGAAGUUGAAGGAAAGAUCUUAUUCCAGUGAUUAAUAUCCGCUUGAGUAACCCAAUCUGAGUCUGAUUUUUUUCGUUAACAAUUCAGGUGUUUAUUUUGGAUGGUCCGGAGUUUUUGGCUGCAACUAUGUUGGACAGAGAUAUGCUUGCUAUGGCUGGAAAUUGGUACCAUGUCGGUUGGUUUUGCUUGGC